CGCAAGAAUUGGUCAAAUUUGGAGUAGACUUCACCCUGCGCUUGGUGAAACUUGUACGUCAAGGAUGCAAGAGGCGCCGAAGUAACGCAGCUCCCACCUGUCGCUCUCCGCUGGGCGCCGAGACUAUGGCCGAAGAAUAGCUGCACCGGGAUUGGAGAAAGGAAGCCAUCAGUCUUAGGGAGGCUCCACCUUCCUGCCAUUGCCUGGUUGGAGGAGCGUAGCGUCAGUCACUAGAGCAGUCACCACCUCUGGGACAGGUGAUUUUAAUGGGCUCACCUGAAUGCUGCUAAGCGCUGCCACCCCCAUAUACAGGAAGAUGCCAUAGAGCACAGGCAUUGGAAUGAACUGGUAGAAAGAAGCAGAGAGUUAGCAAAGUUUACCUCUGCCAACCUCCCAGAUGCCCCAGGAUGCCCAGAUGCCCUAGAUCCCUCUAGCGUCUAGCAUCCAGUUCUGCCCAGGCCUUGCCUUUCCUUUCACACUCUUCAUGCCUGAUCUUAUUGAAUCCUCAAAUCAAUUAGAUGAAGUAAAUGUUAUUAUUGCCUUCAUUUUA
rnacentral:antisense_RNA from 1 species